rnacentral:rRNA from 1 species
GUAAGGAAUAUUGGUCAAUGGACGCAAGUCUGAACCAGCCAUGCCGCGUGAAGGAUGAAAGCCCUCUGGGUUGUAAACUUCUUUUAUCUGGGAAGAAACCACCUUUUUCUAAGGGUGUUGACGGUACCAGAGGAAUAAGCACCGGCUAACUCCGUGCCAGCAGCCGCGGUAAUACGGAGGGUGCAAGCGUUAUCCGGAUUCACUGGGUUUAAAGGGUGCGUAGGCGGAUUAUUAAGUCCGUGGUGAAAUCUCCAAGCUUAACUUGGAAACUGCCAUGGAUACUAUUAGUCUUGAAUGUUGUGGAGGUUAGCGGAAUAUGUCAUGUAGCGGUGAAAUGCAUAGAUAUGACAUAGAACACCAAUUGCGAAGGCAGCUGGCUACACAAAUAUUGACGCUGAGGCACGAAAGCGUGGGGAUCAAACAGG